rnacentral:rRNA from 1 species
UACGUAGGGGGCGAGCGUUGCUCGGAAUUACUGGGCGUAAAGGGUGUGCAGGCGGCCGAUUAAGUCAACGAUGAAAUCCCGAAGCUCAACUUCGGAAUGGUCUUUGAUACUGAUCGGCUUGAGGCUAACAGAGGAGAGCAGAAUUCCCGGUGGAGCGGUGAAAUGCGUAGAUAUCGGGAGGAAUACCAGAGGCGAAGGCGGCUCUCUAUACUAGUCCUGACGCUGAGACACGAAAGCUAGGGGAGCAAACGGG